GCAACCUGCCCCGAAGACCGGAAUAACACCGGGAAACCGAUGCUAAUACCGGAUACCCCCACGAGUCCGCAUGGACAUGUGAGGAAAUGGAUCCCGCUUCGGGAGGGGCUCGCGGCCUAUCAGCUUGUUGGUGGGGUAAUGGCCUACCAAGGCGACGACGGGUAGCUGGUCAGAGAGGACGAUCAGCCACACUGGGACUGAGACACGGCCCAGACUCCUACGGGAGGCAGCAGUAGGGAAUCUUGCGCAAUGGGCGAAAGCCUGACGCAGCAACGCCGCGUGGGGGAUGAAGGCCUUCGGGUUGUAAACUCCUUUCAGUGGGAACGAAAUUGACGGUACCCACAGAAGAAGCCCCGGCUAA
rnacentral:rRNA from 1 species